UACGUAGGGUGCAAGCGUUGUCCGGAAUUAUUGGGCGUAAAGAGCUCGUAGGCGGUCUGUCGCGUCGGCUGUGAAAACCCGCGGCUCAACCGCGGGCCUGCAGCCGAUACGGGCAGGCUGGAGUUCGGUAGGGGAGACUGGAAUUCCUGGUGUAGCGGUGAAAUGCGCAGAUAUCAGGAGGAACACCGAUGGCGAAGGCAGGUCUCUGGGCCGAUACUGACGCUGAGGAGCGAAAGCGUGGGGAGCGAACAGG
rnacentral:rRNA from 1 species